UUCUAAUGGUACGGUUGCAGUGAGAAGUAACAGGUUAACCCUUUGCGGUCGUUUGUCUACUCUCAGCCACCAAAGCUUUUUUACCGUUCUGGUCGUAUGUCUGCUCUCAGCCACCACAGCAAGGAACCGUACGAAUCUUAACUCUAUUCAUUCAUGUAUCAGUUCAUAAUUUCUCUGAAAGCUCUUAAGUGUCUAAGCGACCUUGUCACGAACCAAAACAUUGCCCCGACAAAUCGGAGAUAUCGAAACUCAAUAUAA